UCAAUUGCAGUGUUUGUUUUGGUGGUGGUACGGAUGGUUUCGCCGAAGUGGAUUCAAUGUUAAACAGUAGUGACACUUCGUCACAUUGUGAAGCCGCGGCGGUGCAUUUGUGGUUUUAAGAGAAAGUUUGAGGACAUAAAAGUUUCCGCGAAACUUCCGUGAGCUAAAUAUUGAACGGUUGGCUGAAUCAGUCUAAUAAGAAUUGGGCUUUAUACAGAUUCCUAUACUCUGUUAAUUCGCAAAAGAUUUUCUGCCGCUCGCUGCCUCUACGUAUCCUUGACAUGGACGACUGCGGCAGGGCAAGAGUGGAGACUUUGUUUUUACCAGUAAUUCACGAAAAAUGCGAGUUUCAACAAACGGCGAAGAAUAAUGAACUUAUCCAUUCAUACAGCACAGUGCCAGAGAAGUUACUGAGUAUACACCAGGAAUUGGCUAAUAGGCUAUCAGAAUUACCAUUCUCGGCACCAAUCGAAUACAUUUAUAAUCCUGUGGACUACGCUUUUGAUGUCCAUGCUCAAUUUGUAAAUAAAUUCUGCCACUCAGAACAGCAAAUUUUAUUUCUUGGUAUGAAUCCUGGACCAUGGGGUAUGUCGCAAACAGGGGUACCAUUUGGUGAAGUGACGAUAGUGAGAGACUGGUUAGGUAUUAGUGGAGAAGUUAGAUGCCCGUCUAAACAAUGCCCUAAAAGACCUGUGCUGGGUUUCAGCUGUAAGAGAAGAGAAAUUAGUGGUUGGAAGUUUUGGAACUUCUUCAAAGGCAUAUGUUUGAAUCCAUUCAGGUUCUUCAGACAUGCUUUCGUUUAUAAUUACUGUCCAUUGGCAUUUAUGACAGCAACAGGAAAGAAUGUAACGCCAGCAGAAAUGAAGAAAUAUGUUGUUGGUGUUUUGAUUCAUGGAGUGUGUUCUCUAAAUGGAUGUUACUGGGUUGUAAAAAUUUCACUGGACUGUGUGGAAUAUUUCCAAAGUUAUUAAGACCUGAAUUUGAGUCUGAAGAUAGAUUGCCAGAUGCGGGUUGCAAUUUCUGGGUCACGGCACCUUCUUUCACAAGUCAUAAUUCUGGAACUAAUUGGCAGGGGAAACUAAUACUUUGUACACGAGUGUUCCACACAUGGUUAUUAUUAGUGUACUGAAUUUCAGUCAAAUCUGAGACUAUGAGCUGGAGCCCCUGGUUGAACUGACAUGGAAUGACCAAAGGGACAGUCAAAUGAAAACAAGACAGACAAAAUAAAGAGUAGUGAUCGCAAGAUGAUAGAUUCCCUGUGUGAGAGAGCAUUCUGCAAAGUACUGGAUCUGUUACAUGUGGA